UACAUAUUUAAAUAAAUUUUAAAUACAUUUGUGUAAAGUACAAACACAAUGUUUUGGGAUUAGAGUUAAGAUUUUAAACUUUAGAUUUGAAGUUAAGUAAUAAAAAAGAUUAGAUUUUUAAGAUUUUUAGUUAGAGUUUAGGGUAUAUGAUUAAUUGAACAUUAGUUUUUAAGUUUGGAAUUUAGAAUAAAUGUUUGAGUACAUGGUUUGAAGGUUGAAGGUUGAAGGUUAAAGGUUUGGGUAUUAAUUUAAGAUUUGAGAUUAAAUUUUAAAACUAUUAAUUUUGAGUUUAUAUUUAAGAUUGAAGGUUAAAGGUUUAGGAGUUUUGGAGGCAGAUAAAAUGGAAUGAGAGGGAAAGUGAAACAAGGGUGAGAGGGAAAGUGAAACAAGGGUGAGAGGGAAAAUUAAUGAUUUUCCCCCAAUAGUUUUGCAUAGCGUUUCAAAACUAAAAGUGUUAUCUAUUUUAUUAAAACUCAAGUACAAAUUAGGUUUGUUUGGAAACAUGUAUAGCAAUUUUUAAAAAAAGUUUGUUUGGAAACAUUGAUUGUAGUUUUUUUUUUAAAAA
rnacentral:lncRNA from 1 species